AUCCAUGUAGUGCAGUGGUUAGCAUACCGGGCUUUCAAAGGGCAAUUGCACUUAAACUCCCCGGAGACUUGGGUUCAAACCCCGACGUGGAUA
rfam:Diaporthe helianthi strain 7/96 Scaffold_13009.1, whole genome shotgun sequence.